rnacentral:rRNA from 1 species
UACGAAGGGGGCUAGCGUUGCUCGGAAUCACUGGGCGUAAAGAGCGUGUAGGCGGCCACACAGGUCUGCUGUGAAAACUCGAGGCUCAACCUCGAGCUGUCGGUGGAAACCGUGUGGCUAGAGUCCGGAAGAGGAGAGUGGAAUUCCCGGUGUAGCGGUGAAAUGCGUAGAUAUCGUAAGGAAGACCAGUGGCGAAGGCGGGUCUCUGGACAGUUCCUGACGCUGAGGCACGAAGGUCAGGGGAGCAAACGGG